rnacentral:rRNA from 1 species
UACGAAGGGGGCUAGCGUUGCUCGGAAUCACUGGGCGUAAAGCGCACGUAGGCGGAUUGCUAAGUCAGGGGUGAAAUCCUGGAGCUCAACUCCAGAACUGCCUUUGAUACUGAAGAUCUUGAGUUCGGGAGAGGUGAGUGGAACUGCGAGUGUAGAGGUGAAAUUCGUAGAUAUUCGCAAGAACACCAGUGGCGAAGGGCGGCUCACUGGCCCGAUACUGACGCUGAGGCACGAAAGCGUGGGAGCAACAGGG